UUGUCGAAACCUGCAAAGCAGAACGACCCGCGAACCGUUGCGAAGAUCACGGCGGGGCGGGGGAGAGCCGCGGGUCCGUCCCGCUCUCUCCCCACGUCCCCGCCACACGAACAAAACCCCGGCGCGAGACGCGCCAAGGAAUAGAAAACGAAGAGAUAGGGAACGGGUGGCCCGUCGAGUGCCGGAGACGGAUCUCUCGCGGGCGACCCCUUCUCGUUCGGAAACAAAACGACUCUCGGCAACGGAUAUCUCGGCUCUCGCAUCGAUGAAGAACGUAGCGAAAUGCGAUACUUGGUGUGAAUUGCAGAAUCCCGUGAACCAUCGAGUCUUUGAACGCAAGUUGCGCCCGAAGCCUUCGGGCCGAGGGCACGCCUGCCUGGGUGUCAUGCGUCGUCGCCCCCCGACCAUCGGGACGGGCGGAGAUUGGUCUCCCGUGCGCUCCCGCUCGCGGUUGGCCGAAAUACGAGUUGUUGGCGGCCGAUAGCGCCACGGCAAGCGGUGGUUGUCAAAGACCUUCGGAGAUUGCCGCGGGCGAGGCCGUCGCGAGGCUCCGGGACCCUGUUUUCUAACCACAGCGACCCCAGGUCAGGCGGGAUUACCCGCUGAG
rnacentral:rRNA from 1 species